CUCUCUCUCUCUCUCUCUCUCUCUCUCUCUCUCUGUCUCUCUCUCUCAGCUGGUACAGAGAACUCAGGCAGGUUGAUAACAAGUCAUGCAGAAUUGAGUUCAGAGGUAAACCUGCCAUCAGAGAGAGCUGAUAAGAGACAGAACAUGAACCUGAGCAGCAGCCUGUCUGUGUGGACGUUGUAUAGAAGUCCCAUUUUUACCCAUGUUUACCCCCAAGGUUACGAGCUGUGAGUUACUCAUGUUACAAGAUCCUGACCUGGGGAUGAAUCAGCUGAUGAUCAGCAGUUCAGUUUUCAUGUCAUUUAUAAAUAAUAAUAAUAAUAAAAUCUUUCUCUGUCUCUCUCUCUGUCUCUCUCUCUCUCUCUCUCUCUGUGUAUUCCAGAGCAGUUUGUGUCAUUCACACUAAUGUCUUAACUGAUACAUAGUCAAGCGUGACAUUUUGUUUAUCUUUGAGUGAGUAAUUUUUGUAAAAGCUUUUUGUUAAUAUAGAAAUUUCGACUGAUUAAAAAAUUGCUGUUUCUUUAGCAAACGAGUGAUCCUGAAAAAACCUGAAAAAGUUGCCUAAAGCAAUAUCACACACACACACACACACACACACACACACACACACACAAACACAAAUAAACAAACAUUAACAAUGUGCUGUUACAGUAGAGAUCUGGGUCAGACAUCAACCACUGAGCAGAACUGGGGACUAUGAGGAAGAGGAGCUCAGAAUAACAGUGAGCUAAUGUUUCACCUUCAGAUUCAGAGCGUAGAACACAAAACACUAGAACUUUGUACACACACCACGUGUGUGUCGCAACUCUUUUUGUUUUGUCCUUGUUCCGUAGAGGGACGAUCGAGUCCCGACUUGCACGUCAGCCGUUUCCACGUGUGACACACUAUCAUUAGAACGGCUCUGGAACGACGUCAGUUUCAUUGAAAAGUACACGACGCUUCUUUCAACACUCCUUCGUGGCUGUGGGACGAACAUCCGGACGCUUUGAAUACCUCUUUAAUGGGACGACGGCAACAACAACAACACCUCGCUCAUUCUAUCCCUCUUUUCACUAAUAGGAAAAGUGGUGCACUGCAACCUGGAAUCAGCCGAGACUCUCGGAUCCCCAGGCUCGGACCGGAACCGACGCCGAUCUCGUGGAUCGGAGGGGUGUGUCCCGGAGACGAGUUCCUGGAGGAACGGAAGACAGGAAGAAGAAAGGACGCGUGAGGAGAUCCAUGUAUCUUGUUCACACAGCAUUAGAUGUUAGAUAUCAGACUUCUUCUAACUAUAUUAAUAUUCUGUUUACUUUAAAUCCUGAUGUAUCGACAAAGCUGGAAUUAUAAAUCAGACAUCGGUCCUUAGACAAAGUCAGAUGUUUUAUAUGUUAAAUGAAAUUUAAGAGCUUUCUGCACUUGAAAGAGGUUCCCCUGGGUCCUAGAGCACUCAGGUUAACCAGAAUCCUGUGUGAGGUUUACACAGGACCCGGGUUCUUUCGUAAUCUUUGACGUUUGACGCUGUACGUUAAAACCCUGGCUUAAUGCCCGAUUGGAUAAAUCCUGAGCGUGACAGCUUUAGUAGCGGAUUCACUUACGGUUUCGCUUCAGUGAGGAAAAAUAAUGUCACCAUGUUAAUCCUCUGAGGUUGUUUUAACUUAAUAUGGAUCUGCUUCGGUUCUUCUGGAGACAUCACUUUUUUUUUUGUGUCUGAAAAGUGGUACGUAAUGUGUCACUUUCUUUUGCACAGUAGUGUAUAUAUGCACAUUCGUAAACGUCUAACACUAUUUAUUUAUUUAUUUAUUUAUUUAUUUAUUUAUUUACGUUCCUCCUCUAAUUUACAAGCUUCUUAUGUAGCUGGUUACUGAUGUCUCAUACGGUUACCAGUAAUGUUACUUAAGUAAGCGUUCGAGCUAUGUUACAAUCGCUAAAAUAAAAAAAAUUUAAAUAAAUAAAUAAAUAAAUAAUAAAAAAUG